AACGAACGCUGGCGGCAUGCCUAACACAUGCAAGUCGAGCGCGCCCAUCGGGAUGUUCGGCGGACGGGGGUGUAACGCGUGGGAACGUUCCCUUCUCUGCGGCAUACCUUCGGGAAACGGAUAAUUAUACGGCAUCGGCGCUUUUGCGGGAAAAUUUAUUGGAGAAGGAUGGUCGCUCGUUGGAUAAGGUAGUUGGUAGGGUAAUAGCCCACCAAGCGCACGAUCAGUAGCUGGUUAGAGAGGAUGAUCAGCGACACUGCGACUGAGACACGGCCCAGACUCCUACGGGAGGCAGGAGUGGGGAAUCUUAGACAAUGGGGGCAAUCAUGAACUAGCCAUGCCGCGAGAGCGAUGAAGGUCUGAGGGUAGUAAAGCGCAUUCAGCUGGGAAGAUAUUGACGGUACCAGCAGAAGAAGCCCCGGCUAACUCCGUG
rnacentral:rRNA from 1 species